GGGGAAUUAGGGUUCGAUUCCGGAGAGGGAGCCUGAGAAACGGCUACCACAUCUAAGGAAGGCAGCAGGCGCGCAAAUUACCCAAUCCUAAUACAGGGAGGUAGUGACAAGAAAUAACAAUACAGGACUUUUUGGUUUUGUAAUUGGAAUGAGUGAAGUAUAAACCCCUUUACGAGUAUCAAUUGGAGGGCAAGUCUGGUGCCAGCAGCCGCGGUAAUUCCAGCUCCAAUAGCGUAUAUUAAAGUUGUUGCAGUUAAAAAGCUCGUAGAUGGAUUUCUGUUGUAUAUUCCUAAAUA
rnacentral:rRNA from 1 species